rnacentral:rRNA from 1 species
AACGAACGCUGGCGGCAGGCUUAACACAUGCAAGUCGAGCGCCCCGCAAGGGGAGCGGCAGACGGGGGAGUAACGCGUGGGAACAUACCCUUUCCUGCGGAGAAGCUCCGGGAAACUGGAAUUAAUCUCGCACACGCGCCACGGGGGACAGAUUUAUCGGGGAAGGAUUGGCCCGCGUUGGAUUAGCUAGUUGGUGGGGUAAAGGCCUACCAAGGCGACGAUCCAUAGCUGGUCUGAGAGGAUGAUCAGCCAAAUUGGGACUGAGACACGGCCCAAACUCCUACGGGAGGCAGCAGUGGGGAAUAUUGGACAAUGGGCGCAAGCCUGAUCCAGCCAUGCCGCGUGAGUGAUGAAGGCCAUAGGGUUGUAAAGCUCUUUCACCGGAGAAGAUAAUGACGGUAUCCGGAGAAGAAGCCCCGGCUAACUUCGUGCCAGCCGCCGCCGUAA